UCUGGACCUCCCAACAGGCUCAAGCCAGGGUUUUGCUUGCUGACCAAAAAAGGCAGAGGUGUUCAGGCAGAUGGACAAUGGAUCCCAAUGAAAUGCCUGCUGUGCCCUGCUGCCCCUCCGACCCCCCUAUUGGGCUUGAGACUGGAGCCCCAUGGGGAUUGAACUUGGCCCCAAAAGAGUGUAAGUCGCUGUGCCCGCUGCUACAACCACGGCUUCACUGACCAAGUCAAGGACCAGGAUCACUUCUGCCUCUUCAAGGCCUGCGAGUGUCACAAGUGUGCCUUCUUCUCGGAACACCACAGUGUCUUGCCUGCUGAGA